UUAGUUGGAAAUGUGAUGAAUAAUGUUACUUUUGCUUGCGAGAAUAUCGCCGGUUGUGUGUAAGCUGCCCUGCAUUCACACUACACUUGCAAAUCAAUUUCUCGCUGUACAAAUAUUAGAGCUCAUAAAUUCAAGUCGCUAAAUGCCGAGGGAGACUGAUACUUGUCAUAGUUGUGGCAAAUUAGGGCACUGGGCAACACAAUGUCCCAACAACAACGAUUUCGUCGGAGCUGAUGGUAAGAAAUUUCGACGUUCCCUGCCCUGCCGUUGCGGCGCUGGCUCUUGCAAACUUUUCACCUCUAACACCCUUAAAAACCCUGGACGCAAUUUCUACCGCUGCCCCGCCAACGAC
rnacentral:lncRNA from 1 species